UAGAGUAGAGGGUAGAGUAGAGGGCGUUAGAGUAGAGGGUAGAGUAGAGGGCGUUAGAGUAGAGGGUAGAGUAGAGGGUAGAGUAGAGGGUAGAGUAGAGGGUAGAGUAGAGGGUAGAGUAGAGGGCAGGGUAGAGUAGAGGGUAGAGUAGAGAGUAGAGUAGAGGGUAGAGUAGACGGCAUUAGAGUAGAGGGUAGAGUAGACGGCGGUAGAGUAGAGGGUAGAGUAGAGGGUAGAGUAGAGGGUAGAGUAGAGGGUAGAGUAGAGGGUAGAGUAGAGGGUAGAGUAGACGGCAUUAGAGUAGAGGGUAGAGUAGAGGGUAGAGUAGACGGCAUUAGAGUAGAGGGUAGAGUAGACGGCAUUAGAGUAGAGGGUAGAGUAGAGGGUAGAGUAGACGGCAUUAGAGUAGAG
ensembl:lncRNA